GACCCUUAUAUUCAUACACAAAAGAUCAAUUUAGCCAAAGGCCGGUAGCUCAUUUAUCGACUGAGCGAAUACUAUUUGUAAGGAAUCAACCAAUUCAAUGCAUAUACGAAACAUACCUCAUCGCUGGGAUUUUACGAGCGUAUUAAUUGAAAUUAUUACAGCAAGAUCGCUCAUUCCCAAGCCAGCUACCUUCGGGAUUUAACCGGAUAUAGCUACUCGCUCGAAUGCCUUCGGGACAUAGCCCGG
rnacentral:lncRNA from 1 species